rnacentral:ncRNA from 1 species
GACGUGCUCCGGGGUCGGUGGAAAUCCGAGCCGGCGGUCAUAGUCCGCGACCCGCACCCGUGCGGUGGAGCCGGUGGAACUCCGGCACCGACAGUCACAGCCUGGAUGAGAGGCGCACGUC